GCGGACGUGGCGGAAUUGGUAGACGCGCCAGAUUUAGGUUCUGGUACUGAGAAGUGUGAGAGUUCAAGUCUCUCCGUCCGCACCA
rnacentral:tRNA from 1 species